rnacentral:rRNA from 1 species
GAUGAACGCUGGCGGCGUGCCUAAUACAUGCAAGUCGAGCGAACAGACGAGGAGUUUGCUCCUCUGACGUUAGCGGCGGACGGGUGAGUAACACGUGGAUACCCUACCUAUAAGACUGGGAUAACUUCGGGAAACCGGAGCUAAUACCGGAUAAUAUAUUGAACCGCAUGGUUCAAUAGUGAAAGACGGGUUUGCUGUCACUUAUAGAUGGAUCCGCGCCGCAUUAGCUAGUUGGUAAGGUAACGGGUUACCAAGGCAACGAUGCGUAGCCGACCUGAGAGGGUGAUCGGCCACACUGGAACUGAGACACGGUCCAGACUCCUACGGGAGGCAGCAGUAGGGAAUCUGCCGCAAUGGGCGAAAGCCUGACGGAGCAACGCCGCGUGAGUGAUGAAGGUCUUCGGAGCGUAAAACUCUGUUAUUAGGGAAGAACAAAUGUGUAAGUAACUAUGCACGUCUUGACGGUACCUAAUCAGAAAGCCACGGCUAACUACGUG